rnacentral:rRNA from 1 species
GACGAACGCUGGCGGCGUGCUUAACACAUGCAAGUCGAACGGAAAGGCCCUGCUUUUGUGGGGUGCUCGAGUGGCGAACGGGUGAGUAACACGUGAGUAACCUGCCCUUGACUUUGGGAUAACUUCAGGAAACUGGGGCUAAUACCGGAUAGGAGCUCCUGCUGCAUGGUGGGGGUUGGAAAGUUUCGGCGGUUGGGGAUGGACUCGCGGCUUAUCAGCUUGUUGGUGGGGUAGUGGCUUACCAAGGCUUUGACGGGUAGCCGGCCUGAGAGGGUGACCGGCCACAUUGGGACUGAGAUACGGCCCAGACUCCUACGGGAGGCAGCAGUGGGGAAUAUUGCACAAUGGGCGGAAGCCUGAUGCAGCAACGCCGCGUGCGGGAUGACGGCCUUCGGGUUGUAAACCGCUUUCGCCUGUGACGAAGCGUGAGUGACGGUAAUGGGUAAAGAAGCACCGGCUAACUACGUGCCAGCAGCCGCGGUGAUACGUAGGGUGCGAGCGUUGUCCGGAUUUAUUGGGCGUAAAGGGCUCGUAGGUGGUUGAUCGCGUCGGAAGUGUAAUCUUGGGGCUUAACCCUGAGCGUGCUUUCGAUACGGGUUGACUUGAGGAAGGUAGGGGAGAAAGGAAUUCCUGGUGGAGCGGUGGAAUGCGCAGAUAUCAGGAGGAACACCAGUGGCGAAGGCGGUUCUCUGGGCCUUUCCUGACGCUGAGGAGCGAAAGCGUGGGGAGCGAACAGGCUUAGAUACCCUGGUAGUCCACGCUGUAAACGGUGGGUACUAGGUGUGGGGUCCAUUCCACGGGUUCCGUGCCGUAGCUAACGCUUUAAGUACCCCGCCUGGGGAGUACGGCCGCAAGGCUAAAACUCAAAGGAAUUGACGGGGCCCCGCACAAGCGGCGGAGCAUGCGGAUUAAUUCGAUGCAACGCGUAGAACCUUACCUGGGUUUGACAUGGAUCGGGAGUGCUCAGAGAUGGGUGUGCCUCUUUUGGGGUCGGUUCACAGGUGGUGCAUGCCUGUCGUCGGCUCGUGUCGUGAGAUGUUGGGUUAAGUCCCGCAACGAGCGCAACCCUUGUUCACUGUUGCCAGCACGUUAUGGUGGGGACUCAGUGGAGACCGCCGGGGUCAACCCGGAGGAAGGUGGGGAUGACGUCAAGUCAUCAUGCCCCUUAUGUCCAGGGCUUCACGCAUGCUACAAUGGCUGGUACAGAGAGUGGCGAGCCUGUGAGGGUGAGCGAAUCUCGGAAAGCCGGUCUCAGUUCGGAUUGGGGUCUGCAACUCGACCUCAUGAAGUCGGAGUCGCUAGUAAUCGCAGAUCAGCAACGCUGCGGUGAAUACGUUCCCGGG